AUUUUUAGUGAAUUGUAAGUGUGUAUUUGGAGGUGUUGCAUGGUGAUUUUAGUGUGUUUUGGCGUAGUUUCGAGUUUUAAUUGUUUUGGAUGUGUAAAAUAAUCUGCCUGCAUGUGCCAAACACAUGACACAUUGGGUCAGCCUGGCUCUGCGACGGCGCUGGACCAAAACAAAACACUGGCAGCUGAGGAAGUUACAGCUGAUUCAAGGUUAUCAACAUGGGGCGCAGUGCACAUUGCAGUAAGUGCUGCAUAUGUGGGAAAAAGAAGAGCACGCACCCGGGAACAAGACUACACUUGUUCCCGAAAGAUCCAAGAAGACGCUUGCAAUGGCUGCAGGCGCUCAAUAUCACCUAUAAAAGUGAAUCACAGGCUGUCUGCACUGACCAUUUUGACUCCAAAUGGCAUGCCUGUAAAGGGCGGCUGCUCAACAAUGCAGUGCCAAACUCUGUAGAUGGCUGUGAUGAACAAGGCACUGACACUUAUCAGGAUUGGCAAGAGGACAUAGAUGCCCCUAAAAUGGGAAACACAGAUGUCAUUUCAGAAGAACUGCCGUUCAAUUAUAAGUAUGAUGUCAGCUUUGGGGAAAUCAAUAGUACCCGAGAUACAGCAGACUCCUUGAUUCGAGUUCCCAGUCCUGUGGAGGCCACAUUACAUAAUGUAACUCAUGGAGGAGAUCACAGCAACAUGAACCACCAAGAGCCACACACUACGGCAUCCUCCUUACCAGCUUCUAGUCUGACUCCUGAAGAUCUUGAUGCAGAUGAUGUAGGUGAUGGGUAUAAGUGAUGGAGAGAGCUAGGGAAAGUGUUCAACAAUGGAAGAUGCUACAACACGCAGCUGCUCAUCAACCAUCAUUCCGAUUUCUUUGUCUUUUCAAAGAUCACAAAGGUGAUCAUGAAAGUGACCCAGAAGACACUGAGUAUAGUUCAGAUGAUGAUCUUGCUUUCUGGCAAAAGAUGAAAAGACAUGCAAAACAAAG
rnacentral:misc_RNA from 1 species